UGACGAGCGGCGGACGGGUGAGUAAUGUCUGGGAAACUGCCUGAUGGAGGGGGAUAACUACUGGAAACGGUAGCUAAUACCGCAUAACGUCGCAAGACCAAAGUGGGGGACCUUCGGGCCUCAUGCCAUCAGAUGUGCCCAGAUGGGAUUAGCUAGUAGGUGGGGUAAUGGCUCACCUAGGCGACGAUCCCUAGCUGGUCUGAGAGGAUGACCAGCCACACUGGAACUGAGACACGGUCCAGACUCCUACGGGAGGCAGCAGUGGGGAAUAUUGCACAAUGGGCGCAAGCCUGAUGCAGCCAUGCCGCGUGUAUGAAGAAGGCCUUCGGGUUGUAAAGUACUUUCAGCGAGGAGGAAGGCGUUAAGGUUAAUAACCUUGGCGAUUGACGUUACUCGCAGAAGAAGCACCGGCUAACUCCGUGCCAGCAGCCGCGGUAAUACGGAGGGUGCAAGCGUUAAUCGGAAUUAACUGGGCCGUUAAAGCACACGGCAGGCGGUUCUGGUCAAGUCAGAAUGUGAAAU
rnacentral:rRNA from 1 species